rnacentral:siRNA from 1 species
UUAGUUUUACCCUACUGAUGC